GCCCCUGCUCCCCCCAAUCCCUCGGUUCUGCCCCAGGACCCCGUCCGUCCCCCAGUCUCUCUCCUUAGGAUGCCUUCCCCCCACAUCUGCUGUCCAAGCCACACAGACAAGCCACAUCGUAGUUUUUAAUUUACUACUUCGUACAUUUUUUAAAAGAAAAAAAGGGAAAAUCAUGUACUUCACAUAAUUCAGUAUGUCCAGAAUAUGACCAUAUCAACCUGGAAGCCGACAGGAAAAAAAAAAAAGAAAAAGAAAUCAUGCGGUAUUUUAGGGGGAUUUUUUAUAGUAAGUUUUUGAAAUUUAGCGUGCCCUUUACACGUGCGGCACUUCUCCAUACAAACCAGCCACAGCUGAAGAGCUCCCAGUCUUCCUCCAGAGGCUGCAGGCUGCGGGGGCCCCCUCAGAUGGUCCUAUAGCUGGAUGGUCCUAUAGCCAGAGGGUCCUAUAGCCAGAGGGUCCUAUAGCUGGAUUCCACCUCCCAGAGCAUUUCCCCGCUAUCUUACCUAAGGUUCCCUUCAACCAUCACCCUGUUGUAUUUCCUCAUAUACAGGACUUAAUGGUACUUGAAAUUAUCUUGUUCCUACUUAUCAUCACCUUUCUGCACCCUGAAAGCACUGAUUUUCCCUUCCACAAAUGCCUCUCUAGCAUCGAGAUAUUGCCUCGCACAGAAAAGGCCCGGUUAGAGGUGCUGUAGGUGAACGAAGGAAUAAAUGAACAAAUGAACCCUUCAUCUUGCAUCAGCCCCACAAGGACAGGAAGACCUCAGCUCAUAAAAGUCAGAAGAUGCAGGAGGCUUGAUGGCAAGGUUGCAGUAGGAUGCCAGGACACCAAUCAACUAGUACUACUGAAAAGUCUUUGGGCCCUCACUUUGGAAUCCCUCGGAAGGCGCAUGGACCAGACAGCCAUCCUCCUACUAAAUAUCUACCCGAGAGAAAUGGAAUCACAUGUGUCUGCAAAGACGUACAGGAAUGUUCACAGCAGCUUUAUUCAUAGCAGUUAAAAACUUUAAAGGUUUUUUUUUUGUUGUUUAAUUAGAGGGAGAGAGAGAGGGCAUGAGCAGGGGGGAGGGGAGAGGGAUAAGCAGGCUCCUCACUGAGUUGGGAGCCCGAUUCAGGAUUCACUCCCAGGAUUGAGCCACGGUAGAUGCAGCGGUCACAGCAUGGGAGCAUCUACUGGCCACGGACACCCCACUGGUGAGGGGCACACGAGGUGGGGGAUGUCCCUUAAUCGCCACCCACGCUGGACCCUUAGAUGCACCUUGGCCCACAAGGGGCAAGUUUUCUGGGGCAGGCUAGAUUUGAGGGGCCUCCUCAGGACUCCCUCCAUCAGGCCCUUUCUCAUCUGGCCUAGUGUGCAUCAGCCCCCAGAAUCCUCUAGACCAGAGAGGACUGGACACUACAGAAAUGUUUCCUUUGGCCCACACCUUGCUGUAACAGAAUUAGAAUUACAACAUUUAAAAGGUUGGAGAUUGGGGUGCCUGGGUGACUCGGUCAGUUGGGUGUCGGACUCUUGAUUUUGCCUCAGCUCAUUUUCUAGGGGUUGGAUCAAGCCACACAUGGGCUCUAAGUGGGAGUUAAGGGAGUCUGCUUGAGAUCCUCUCUCCCUCUCCCUCUCUCCCCUGCUUGCACUCCCUCCAAAAUAAAUUGUUAAAAUAUUUUUAAAAGCUGGAGAUAAUACAUGAGAAUCUGUAUUUGGGGCCUUUCUAGAAAAAUUGGAAGAUUUGGUGACAAUGGAACCCCCCCCAUACUUCCUAUGCCUACAUUCAUUCACUCGUUCACCUUUUAUUGAGCACCUACUAUGAGCCUGGCACUAUUCUAUGUACUUGGCGCCACAUGACUGAGCAAAAUAGCAAACCCCUGCCUCACUGGAGCUUAUGUUCUAGCAAGAGGAGCAGACCGUAAGCAAUAAAUGUAACAGAGAUGUAAAUUAUAAGAUAUCGUAACAAGUGAUAAGGGCUUUAAGAGUCCCAGAGGGGAGGUAGGGAUCUCAGGGGUGGGGGGAGGUGUUGCAAUUUUUUUUUCUUUUUAGAGAGAAAGCACAGGGGGAGGGAGAGAGAAUCUAUGCCCAGUGCAGAGGCUGCUCAAUCUCAUUACCCCAAGGUCACAACCAGAGCUGAAAUCCAGUCAGAUGCUCAACCAGCUGAGCCACUCAGGCCCCCUAGGCAGGGUGUGGGUGCGGGGUUGCAAUUGUAAUUACAAACUCAUUUCAUCAAAUUGUGAAGGUAUUUAACUGUCUGAUAGGAAUAUAGUGCGAAUCACAUACUAAUUCCAAAUGUUCUAGUAUCCACGUUAGCGUGAAAAGAAACAGGUAAAGUUAAUGUUAAUAUUUUAUCUAGCUGACACUGCAAAAUGUUAUGUCAAUAUGCCAUCAAUGCAAAAAUGAUUGAUGAGAUAUUUUAUAUCUGUUUUGUGCUGGGUCUUCAAAAUCCGCAUCCUGCCCUGAGAUGUACUUCACGCGCCUCGGGUAGCACUGGCUGCGCUCGGUGCUCAACGGUGGCCAGGGCCCCCGGUGCCGUAUCAGGCAGCGCAGGCCCAGACAGCUCAGGACAGCUGGGGACAGCUCAGACGCCCGCCCUCUUGGCUUACAGGUGCAAGUUCUAAGGAGCUGGUUAUCGGGAGCCUCCCCGGGCAGGCUGUCCUCCCAGCUGGACUUGGAGAAGUACCACGCCUCGGGCCCUGCCCGGCGCCCUCCUCUGCGGGGCAGGGUGGUGGGUACCUCGCCUGUCUCCUCGGGCAAUAAUGGAGAGGAAAUAUAGAAGCUCAAGGGGCAUCCGAGCGGCUCUCCCCUCCCAGCUCGAGUUUGCGGAGCCCUGCUCUGGGGAUGGAGAGGGCGGAGGCAGGGCCGAGGGCGAGAGGUCCAGGGAAUCACCCAGAAGAGGGCAGCGCCCAGGCGGCCACCCUGACCCGGGGGUUGGCUUGGUGAUUUCAAGGCCAGCCAGGCUCCCCCCUCCCCGCCCCCCCCACCUUCUCCUGAAGUCUCUCUGCCUGCAACCUCCUCCCCACUUUUCGUUCUGGAAAAGGGCUCCAGUCUCAGAAACAGGUCUAGGGUCACGUCCAGCACUGGCCCCCCAGGCUGUGCCCCGGGCCCCCCUGUACUCCUGGAGCUGCCCCCCACCCCACACUGCCCUGAGCACCCGCGAUGGGCCUCGUAGGUGGCGUAGGUGCCACCGGAUGGAGCCUCGCUCCCACUGCCUGUGAACAAGCAGAUCUGCAGAGACCCCCCCCUUCACCCCAAAACAGGCUGAUGACAGCGAGUGGCAGGGCCUGGGAAGAGGGCGCAGUCAGAGGCCGGCAGGAGGUGCUGGGCGUGACGGAGGGCGGAGGGCCGGGCUCUCAGCAAGCGCAGCGUGAGGGUCCCAGGCCCAGCGGCCACCACUCCACCGCCCCCUACGCAUCGGUGGCACCACGGACCACGGACAGGCCCCAGCUCAGACGCACAGCCAGAGCCAGGAGUCGAUGUACAAAACAAGGUUUACUUAGAAGCAGGAGUGCUGCCCAGUAUACAGUACAAACUCGGGGAUCAACAAGCCUGGGAGCCGCGGCCCCCCAGGGAGGGUCUCCUUCGGGGUCAGAGCUGCCCUGGGAGAGCAGCGGGGCCUGAGGUCGUCCCGGGGCGGCCCACCAGGGGGCAGACACGCUCCACCGCCUCGAGGCCGGGGGCAGGGGCAGGGCAGGGG